ACCUGGUUGAUCCUGGCAGUGAUUAUAUGGUUGUCUCAAAGCUUAAGGCAUGGAAGUCUAAGUUCAGGGUUGGUCCUUUCGGGGAGGGAGGCGAAACUGGGAACGGGUCAUUAGUCAGAUAAGGGUCCUUGGGGAAAAGGGGGUCGGUUUAAUGGAUAACUGUGGUAAUUCUAGAGGUAAUACAUGGAACGGAGGUGGUCCCCCCCUCUUUCAUGCUGUGAGGGGGUGGGGGGAAACGGGAUUUAUUCUCUGGACAGAUCGCCUAGCCCGCAACUACCGUCAAAAGUAGCGACGGGGCGAAGCGACAAGUGUUGAAAUCGAAUAACUGUGCCGAUCGCGGGGUCUUCCCGGGCCCCGACGACUUUGCCAUGAAGUGUCUGUCCCAUCAAUUUGCGAUGGUCGGCGACCUGCCUACCACGUGUUGACGGGUAACGGGGAAUCAGGGUUCGAUUCCGGAGAGGGAGCCUGCGAAACGGCUACCACUCCAAGGAGGGCAGCAGGCGCGCAACUUACCCAAUCCCGACACGGGGAGGUAGUGACGAAAAAUAACGUGGCGGGGCCCUUUCGUGGUCGCCGCGGGCGGAAUGAGCGCAAUUUAAAAGAGUGUGCGAGGAGCUAUUGGAGGGCAAGCCUGGUGCCAGCAGCCCGCGGUAAUUCCGGCUCCAAUAGCCUAUAUCGGAGUUGCUGCGGUUAAAAAGCUCGUCGUUGGAUCUCGGAGGCGGCACGGUCGGGCGCGAUACGCUGCGGGUCCGACCGGCGAUUUCUCGGCCGUCCCUAACCGGCGGCGGCGGGGCGAGGUGGACUUCGCGGUCCUGCCUCGUUUUUCUCCUUCGCGGGAGAGAACCCGCCGGCCACUUUCUGUCUACCUUGAAAAAAUUAGAGUGCUAAAGGCAGGCUAAAACCCCGAGCCUGAAUAUUUCGUGCAUGGAAUAAGCGGGGAUGCUCUUUUUCGGAGGGCGGUCGACCGACGGGGACGUCGCUUUCGCUGUCGGUUACCCGGAGAGCUAGAAUUCAGAGGAACGGUGGGGGGCGACGUCCGGGCGGGGAGAGUGAAAUUUGUGAUCCCCUGGGACGACUCGAACCGAAACCCCUGCCCCGGAGUCUUCCUUAAUCCAGAACGAAGGUGGCCGACCAAAGACGAUCAGAUCCCGUCGUAGUCCCGACGGUAAACCCUCCCGCCCGGCCCCCGGACGAGCCUCGAGAACAGCGGUUAUGGACCCGUCCGUGGCGGCUUCGGCCACCCUGAGAGUUUACGGGUUCGGGGGGUAGUAUGGUCGCAAGCCUGAAACUUAAA
rnacentral:rRNA from 1 species